rnacentral:hammerhead_ribozyme from 1 species
GCACUGCUGAGGAGUCCAGAAAUAGGACGAAAUGGCCAUCCAAUGC